CCCCGCCCCCUGAGAAAAGGUUUGGCCCGCAUACUAAUUUGUCACCUGGACUAAAGUAUUACAGCAUUCUCGGGCUGGAAGAUGUUUGAGGCUGAGAAUGCUGCCCUGUCAGAAAUGAACCCGACGUAUUCAAGUUUUCAAUCUGCUGUGCAAGAGAGACUUGUGAUGGAGGAAGAGCUCAAGAAGGCACUGGAUCGCUGUAAGGAGUUGGAGCAGAGCAGUGUGCCUGCAGUGGACGGGGUGGACAUAUUCGAGUGCUACAAAGUAACGGGAGAAGGAAGAGCACUUG